UAGGUCUCUAGAUGUUACAGAGAACCCCAAACAACCCAAACUGUUAAUCUUCAAUACCGCUUUGUACUUACGAUCUUGUAUCCACUGACUGUCUUGUUAGAUUAACCCAAUAAAUUUCAUUCACUCCGCAUACUCAAUCCUAUAGACACCCUUUUAAUCCUUCAAUCACAGACGUAACUCGAUUUUACAAAACAGUCAAGAGUAUUCAAACCCACUUCAUUAAAAAUCUCGAUUCACCAUUACAAUACUGACUUUAGCAACGAUUGCCUCAGUCUUCCCAAAACUCUACGAAGAAGAAAAACCCAAA
rnacentral:lncRNA from 1 species